UACGUAGGGGGCAAGCGUUGUCCGGAAUCAUUGGGCGUAAAGAGCGCGUAGGCGGCCCAGUAAGUCCGCUCUGAAAGUCAGGGGCUCAACCCCUGGAUGCGGGUGGAUACUGCUGGGCUAGAGUCCGGAAGAGGCGAGUGGAAUUCCUGGUGUAGCGGUGAAAUGCGCAGAUAUCAGGAGGAACACCGAUGGCGAAGGCAGCUCGCUGGGACGGUACUGACGCUGAGGCGCGAAAGCCAGGGGAGCAAACGGG
rnacentral:rRNA from 1 species